UGGGGAAUUUUGGACAAUGGGGGAAACCCUGAUCCAGCCAUCCCGCGUGUGCGAUGAAGGCCUUCGGGUUGUAAAGCACUUUUGGCAGGAAAGAAACGUCGCGGGUUAAUACCCCGCGAAACUGACGGUACCUGCAGAAUAAGCACCGGCUAACUACGUGCCAGCAGCCGCGGUAAUACGUAGGGUGCAAGCGUUAAUCGGAAUUACUGGGCGUAAAGCGUGCGCAGGCGGUUCGGAAAGAAAGAUGUGAAAUCCCAGAGCUUAACUUUGGAACUGCAUUUUUAACUACCGGGCUAGAGUGUGUCAGAGGGAGGUGGAAUUCCGCGUGUAGCAGUGAAAUGCGUAGAUAUGCGGAGGAACACCGAUGGCGAAGGCAGCCUCCUGGGAUAACACUGACGCUCAUGCACGAAAGCGUGGGGAGCAAACAGGAUUAGAUACCCUGGUAGUCCACGCCCUAAAACGAUGUCAACUAGCUGUUGGGGCCUUCGGGCCUUGGUAGCGCAGCUAACGCGUGAAGUUGACCGCCUGGGGAGUACGGUCGCAAG
rnacentral:rRNA from 1 species